rfam:Nicotiana sylvestris Nsyl_contig48164, whole genome shotgun sequence.
GCCGGGAUAGCUCCGUUGGUAGAGAAGAGGACUGAAAAUCCUCGUGUCACCAGUUCAAAUAAGAUUCCUGGCA